GUGCCAGGAAAGGAUUCCCGAGCGAAGCUAGGGUUCGACUGCCCAGCUACCGCUCCCCCACAUACCGCCGCCACCCCAUCGAUCUGCAGCCACAGGCGACGGCCACCUCCUCCGCUGGUGGAGUGGUACUUUCGCGUCCACGGGCCUUUGCGACCGUGACGCCCGCCCAGCCCUUGGACCUGUUCGGCCCUUCCCGUACAGUUUCUGCGUUUUCCCCUCGAUCCCCGCUGGAGAUGCUUCCGCGACGGGCGCUCAAUGGGGAGGCUCCUGGCGUCGUCACCCACAGUCAAGCGCUCGGAGACAUGUGAACACGAGGCGGAAGGCCGGAUGCCAUGGCAGUACAUCGCGGAGGUCGUUGGCACAGCGGCGGGAGGACCAUGGUGGUGCGGCGUUUCCGCUGGCAGUGGCGGCUCGGAGCUCGCUGGCGCAUCGACGGGAUACAUUAACUGAUUUCUUGGCGGAUUCGGGAGAGCUUGCCUUGAGACUCAAUGGUUGAAAUCCAUCUUGAAGAUGGCUUAGAGGAAAGAAGGGGAUCCGGGAGGAUGAAGUAAUUGGACAUGGUAUUACUCACUGGAAUCGAAUAAGUCGACGGUCUGGAGAGGAAAUUGUGGCAACGCGUGGCUCUAGAAUAGUGUGGCCGCCAGUGACGACUGGCAGGAAUUGGUCGGUUCCCCUUACAAUUCAAUCCCCAAAAUUGUUUAUUUGUGCAGCUGCCCAUGGAGCUUCGCUGGCUUCAUGAAAAGCACUUGAGAGCUCGCGCGUGCUGGGCUUCUAUUCUGAUGAGGCUGAUGGCUCUGCAUAAUACGCUGUCAGUGGAUGAGUACCCAAGAAAAACAUGAGUAGUCUUUAUAUGUACCAUCUAGCAUUAUCCUUUGCCCAGCCCAGAAAAAAACAUCACAGCACGAGUUAUGGAGACACAUUUGCUUAUAUGAUUUACAAUUUACAUGACAACAACGUGGAGAUGGAAGAGAAUUGCUGCACUAGAAUUUUUUGCAGACCAGGAUAAGAAUGGCCAGACGAGAGAAGAGGGUAGGUGCUAGGGCUGGUCGAGGCAUCGUGAACUGGAUCACCGAUGUCCUGUUGAUGCCCUGUUGGAUUUGGUUCCUGCCGUUGCCUCUGGUCCUAUGCGUUCUGGUUUGCUGCUUAAUCACUUACACUUUUUAAUCUUCGGAAAUUGUACUUUUAGAAUCAGAUUGUUGAGCUUUUCUGAGUACUGAAUUUAGGAAGUCCUGCACUUGUAUAAUCCUUCUCAUAGCCGAAUGAAUUGUCCGGCAGUAUGUGUGGCUACUGCUUAUUAUUGUAUUUAUGAAUCUGAACUUCUAAUUUGUGAAUUGCAUGGUGGUUGGUGUUAUAUCUUUCUUAGUUGCAGACACUUCCACACAUAAAACUAGAACUUCAUGGUCUCUUUCAUCAUUUGAAUGUGAGGUUCUUCAUAAAGGGAUUCUGAGCCAACAAGUAAGCCAAGAACUCGGUUUAGCAUAAACUGUGAUUUUGGAAUAUAAGAUCAUAUCCCUUUUGGAAUAUGAAAUCAUAUCACAAACAAGGGGAAACAUGACCACCUUUGUCCAUGGUGGCAUGGAGGAGAACUGUUUGAUUUGUUAGAGCCAGUGAGUUUUUAGUUCAUGUUGCACCAAAUCACAGUUUCGUUACCUACCACUGCCAUUACCAAGUAAUUACAUACCGCUUCGUCCCCAAGCCAAGAAAGGAUUCCCGAGCGAAGCUAGGGUUCGACUGCCCAGAUACAGUUCCCCCACAUACCGCCGCCACCCUGUCCCCAAACUUAUGUCCUGGAAGUGGUUCAAUGUAAAGAAAUAGUCCAGUUCUUUUCUAUAUCAGGAUUUACUAACAAUGUUCCAGCGUUCUCAUUUCUACCAUUGGAGGCCAUAUUGUGUCACUUAGUUCAAUAGAAGGAUCGUAACUUCUAUACUCAAUCUUAAUCUUAAGUCGAAUAAAGCAAAGUUCUUAGAUUUACCAUUGUAAAUUUAAAGAACAUGUACCCCUAUUUUUGCCGAUUACUCAUUACCACCAAUGUAAAUCUGUCUCACUGAUUUUGCUGCUUGUAGUUCUAUUUGUGAUUAAAAAAUAAAUUAUGUUAAUUUAAUAAGAAUCAUUAAGGGUUUGUGAGAGAUAUAUCUCCUUAAAUUUUACCAACAAUAGUUUCUUGCAAGUCAGGUUGAUAUUUUGGCUGGAGCGUUUGGAAUCGGCCCUCGCAGGGGAUGAUGGCUGAAAAAAAUCGACAGGAGCCAGGAAGAUGUCGGGGUAGGUGACGGUGAGGCUGGCGUUGGUGCCCUGGAGUGCACUCACAGACUUUUUGAACUAUCAAAGUCAUAGUAGCAUCAGGACACGGUAAUGAGACGUACAGUUUCUUCUUCUCUCCUACAUCUUCCUGUUCUUAUACUAGAUACAUGUUUGACCCCAUUGAAGUAUAUCAUCUUCUGAUUAUGCUGAGUUGUAUUACUUCACUGGUUUAAUGAAGAACUACAAGUGCAAUUUCUUGAUUUGCUAUCACUUAGAUUUAUUUAUGAUUCCAGAUUGAUAUUGCAAUGUGAAAAUUGCCAAAAUUUAAUUGUGCAAAUUUAAAAUUUGAUCACUCUGUGCUAUCUGA